rnacentral:piRNA from 1 species
UAAUCUACAAGUGAUACAGUUGUCC